CCUACGGGUGGCAGCAGUGGGGGAUAUUGCACAAUGGGGGAAACCCUGAUGCAGCGACGCCGCGUGGGUGAAGAAGCGCCUCGGCGCGUAAAGCUCUGUCAGCAGGGAAGAAAAUGACGGUACCUGAAGAAGAAGCCCCGGCUAACUACGUGCCAGCAGCCGCGUUACUACGUAGGGGGCAAGCGUUAUCCGGGGUUACUGGGUGUAAAGGGGGCGGAGACGGCGAUGCAAGCCAGGAGUGAAAGCCCGGGGACCAACCCCGGGACUGCUGUUGGAACUGGGUGGCUAGAGUGCAGGAGGGGCAGGCGGAAUUCCUGGGGUAGCGGUGAAAUGCGUAGAUAUCAGGAGGAACACCGGUGGCGAAGGCGGGCUGCUGGACUGCAACUGACGUUGAGGCCCGAAAGCGUGGGGAGCAAACAGGAUUAGAUACCCUAGUAGUC
rnacentral:rRNA from 1 species